AUUGAACGCUGGCGGCAGGCCCAACACAUGCAAGUCGAACGGUAACAGGAAGAAGCUUGCUUCUUUGCUGACGAGUGGCGGACGGGUGAGUAAUGUCUGGGAAACUGCCUGAUGGAGGGGGAUAACUACUGGAAACGGUAGCUAAUACCGCAUAACGUCGCAAGACCAAAAAGGGGGACCUUCGGGCCUCUUGCCAUCGGAUGUGCCCAGAUGGGAUUAGCUAGUAGGUGGGGUAACGGCUCACCUAGGCGACGAUCCCUAGCUGGUCUGAGAGGAUGACCAGCCACACUGGAACUGAGACACGGUCCAGACUCCUACGGGAGGCAGCAGUGGGGAAUAUUGCACGAUGGGCGCAAGCCUGAUGCAGCCAUGCCGCGUGUAUGAAGAAGGCCUUCGGGUUGUAAAGUACUUUCAGCGGGGAGGAAGGGAGUAAAGUUAAUACCUUUGCUCAUUGACGUUACCCGCAGAAGAAGCACCGGCUAACUCCGUG
rnacentral:rRNA from 1 species